rnacentral:rRNA from 1 species
CGGGGUGGAGUAAUGUCUGGGAAACUGCCUGAUGGAGGGGGGUAACUACUGGAAACGGUAGCUAAUACCGCAUAAUGUCGCGAGACCAAAGUGGGGGACCUUCGGGCCUCUUGCCAUCGGAUGUGCCCAGAUGGGAUUAGCUAGUAGGUGGGGUAACGGCUCACCUAGGCGACGAUCCCUAGCUGGUCUGAGAGGAUGACCAGCCACACUGGAACUGAGACACGGUCCAG